rnacentral:rRNA from 1 species
UACGAGAGGCCCAAACGUUAUUCGGAUUUACUGGGCUUAAAGAGUUCGUAGGCGGCGCGGAAAGUAGGGUGUGAAAGCCCUCGGCUCAACCGAGGAAUUGCGCUCUAAACUACCGUGCUUGAGGAAGCUAGAGGUGAGCGGAACUGAUGGUGGAGCGGUGAAAUGCGUUGAUAUCAUCAGGGACACCGGAGGCGAAGGCGGCUCACUGGGGCUUUUCUGACGCUGAGGAACGAAAGCCAGGGGAGCGAACGGG